UUUAUUUGUGAGGCACUACUGUAAACAAGUGUCUGUCUGCACAGAGAGGUUAGAUGCCUCUCUGCUUCUUAGUCACAGGAGUGUGCAGAAGCUGUUUUUAGGACAUGAACCUUCGUUAGCGCAGUGCUCGUGCACUCAGGGGCUCAUUUCAGAGACACGAGAGUUUGCCAGGGUACAGACUGGCAGUUCAGUCUGCACACAUGUGGUUUUCACAAGGGAAAAUCAGCAUGUCUUUUCCUUUCUUCCUUGUCCUUUCAGACACUCCUAUGUAAGCUGAGCAAGUACCCAUGCAUCUUUGACAGGAUAAACAAGAUUGAUGUUCAUAGUACAGAAUGCGAGAUUCUGUCCAGGAUCUCUACAGAAUGGAAUUUUUACGUCAGAAGACAAUGCCUUCUGCAAGACAUGUGGAAAAACUUAAAAUCCGCCUCAAAGCAAGAUUUCAGGAAGAUGUUAAAGGUAAGGUACUAAAUUGUAUUACUUGUUAGCUCCAAGUCAUUUGCUGCAGUGCUCCUUGAUUUUCAGUGUUACUGAAUAUUGGGAGAAGAGUUUCGGUAUCCUCUGAGCAUACAACAAAAGAACUGCUCAUCAAAUUAUUACAAAACAUGUUCCAUAGAUGGUGUACAGUAAAUCUGGAGGGCAGUAUUUUACAUUCUUAUUCCAUUCCAUCCUUGUUGGCCUAAGUUAAAUGCAAGUGGCAGUGCUAUUUACUGUGAGAUUGCUUUGGGGUAAUGGAAUAGAAUUGCUGAGUUGUCAAAGUCCAGUACUGUUGCUGCUAGACUGACUUUUGAGACUUUAUACUAGUAUAUUAAAACCCCAGAGUCUGGGGAACCAGCCUGAGGGCUCAGCAAGCAAAACAGCCACAAAAUGACAUUUCCCUCUAGGAGAUGCUGUCUGAAGGGAAAGGAAGGAUACUGCUGGCCAGAGAGAUGAGCAUCUGAUUACAAUGCUGCUGUUUUCACAUGCCUUUAAUCUGUGGCUUCCACACUGAUCCAAAGGUUGUGGCAGUUGCAUUUCCCACAGGAAUCAUGAUGCUGGCCCUGCCCUGCAAAAGCCAUUAGCUGGCUGACGUGGGAACAGGACACCUCCCAGAGCAGAGUUCAGCUCAGGGACCUGUCAUUAACACAGAGUCUGGCACCAAAGACUGUGCCAGAAGAAUCACAGACCUUGAUGCCCUAUUACUCAGUUCUAGUGCUUUCCAAGUGAGCCUUCCUGCAAACCAGGGCUGUCAAAGCUUUUCUUUACUUAGGAAAAAAGCUUUUCUUUGCUUAGGAGAAGAAUCACAAUGGCUCCCAGAGCUACCUUUCCUUCCUGCUCCUUCACUACACCAGCUGAGAGAGGCAUUUAUUUACAUAUAUUAAAUAUCUAUAUUAAAUAUAUAUAUUAAAUUUAUUUACAGAGGCAGUGAGGGUGUGCUCUGUACUGUCCUCAAGAUUUCACCAACUGUACAAGCUCUGACAAACAGCUGCCCUUAGCUGAAGUCAGCCUUUGGGCACACCUCUUGUGACCACUGCCUUUCACACUGUGCAUCACAAUAUUAUUUACCCAGCAGCAGCCUGAAAGAUACAAUUGCAUGGCUAGUAUCCCACAGCCUGGUGCAGCAUUUUCAACUUGGGACUUAAUUUCUGCAUUUUU
rnacentral:lncRNA from 1 species